rnacentral:lncRNA from 1 species
AUGGAAAAGCUAGUGCUAGUACUGGCAAAUCUCUUUGGAAGAAUAUAUAUUCCAGCAAAGUACUAUGAUGAUAAUAUGAAGUUUUAUCAGUCAAAGGUGUUCCUUGAUGAUCUCCCUGAGGAUUUCAGUGCUGCUUUAGCUGAGUACAACAUGCAAGUUACAAAGGACUUUGCCUCUUUUUUACUACUUGUGUCCAAAUUGGCUGAUAUGAAACAGGAGUAUCAACUCCCAUUGUCUGAAAUCAAAUUCACAGGUAAAGAAUGUGAAGACUCCCAACUUGUAUCUCACUUGAUGAGCUGCAAAGAAGGAAGAGUAGCAAUUUCACCAUUUGCUUGUCUCUCUGGGAACUUUGACGAUGCUUUGCUUCAACCAGAUAUUUCAAGUGAUUUCAUUCUGCGCACACUUGGUAUCAACCAUACUCAAGCUCCUGUACUGUGGCCGAAAAGAUUUGAUAGUCAAGGAAGAAGAAUGCCACUUAAUGCUUAUGCACUGGACUUCUACAAACAUGGUUCCUUGGUAGGAUUAAUGCAGGAUAAUGGGAUACAUAUGGGGGCAGCUUAUGAUUUAUUGAAAGAUUUUGCACUCACUAUUAAAUCUAUCAGUGUUUCCUUGCGUGAAUUAUGUGAGAAUGAAGAUGACAACGUUGUUUUAGCAUUUGAGCAACUGAGUGAAACCUAUUUUAUAAAACUGAAUAAAGUCUAAAAACAAAGUCCAUGCACAGCUCUUAAAAUACUGCCAUGGAAGUUUUACAAGGUACAGUUUGGGUUCUCAUGCUUUUUGUGAGAAAACACAUGAAUCAUAAAGAACAAGCCUUGGCUUUAAAGAGUUAGAUUCACACCUGCCGUGUUCUGUCAUGGGUGUUCUUGGACAAAUUAUUUAGUGUAUCUGAAUCUUGGUUUCUUUUUAUGUUUGACUAAUCAUGCUUACAUCAGAGUAUGUUGAGGUUUGACAGAAAAUGCAAGGAUUUUGAAUGUAACUAAAGAGGCAUUUUUCCUCUGUGAGAUCAAAACAAAUAUUACACUUUUAAUAUUUUUCUUCUUUGUAUCAGGAUUUCUAAAAUAUUUAUUAAGGGUAGAAAGAAACAAUCAUAGUAUCCUAAAGGUGAAAUAUAUUCUUUCCAAAUAAUAUAAAUGGGAUUAUAAAAUGUAGAUAUGACUACUGAAAUAAUAUAUUCUAAUAAACCAAGUGCUUUCUAAAUACCCAAGAGUUUGAGAUUCAAACUAUGUGAUGCUUAAAUAAUAUGCAACUGAUAUGUGUUUUAUUUUUAUUACACAUGAGUGACCAGAAAACAAAGAAGAAAUAAAAUGAUUUAAAUCUCUUACCUUUGGUUUCAUUGUGUGAAAUCUUUGCAUAUAUCAAUCUAUUUGCAUAAACCUAUGGAUUUUCUAUAUAAUAAUAAAUUACAUAAACAUUUCUGCUCCUUAUCCUCAGCCUUAGAUCACCAUUUUAGAAUCUAUUUUAGGCAAUAAACUUUAAUAUUGAGUAUUUCAUCCUCAGUGUGAAACAUCUGUUUUCUCCUUCCAUCUUGAUGCCAUAAGCAAAUGAUACUCUUUUUGUGACAUUAUUCAUAAGUAGAUUAUAUAGGUUUAGGAAGACAACUGUGGUCAUUUUUUUCUGGAGAUGCAAGAAUACCCUUAUCCCUAGGACUGACCCAUCUUUUCAUGUGCUGUGUUGGAGGUUUUUACUUUCUUUGGGCUGCACCUAUUUUCACUAUGUAAAGCACUACAACAGUUUCUGAAUAUCAGUG